UAACGAAAAUUUCGAGUGUUACAGGUGUAAUUAAUUAAUUAUUAAAUUAUUGUCUCAAUAAGCUAGAUAAAGAUAGAGAAUCAGUAUUAGUAAAUUAGUUGAGAAGCUGCUGAAAGAAUUUACGUUACCAUUACCAUACGUUAUCAUGACUGAUCUGAUGGCUGCUAAAAGAUCUAUCCAGAUAUGCUUGACACCUGUAAAAACAGCACAACAGUUGCACAUGACCGACUAGUCAGGCGGUCAGUUGAGGCUCCGCCCAGGGGUCAGAAGUGAUUGUAUGCUGAACUGAGGCGUGAUCUGAUUGGAUUGCGCAUAGACUCCUUUUGCGCUGAUUGGCUGAUACGCAUGUGUCCUAGUAGCGCUGGUUAUAAUAAAGCGUCGCGCAGCUCCAGUGCAGGCAUCUCCGGCAGCGGGUACAUAACUGGUAAGCGCAAAGAAGCUACUUCUAUUUUUAUUUUAUAAUAAUCCUGCUUUUUUAGUUUGUUCGUGGUUUAUAUAAUUAAACAACUCGUAUGUAAAUAACACAUUCAGCAAACAGGAGUACAGUUUAAUCCCCCAUGGCCUGUUGUUUUUAAUGUAAUCUGAUGUCCAAGUAUGUUUAUAGGAUAUUACUACACCACUAACAAAAAUAUACUAUAGCAAACAUUAU